rnacentral:rRNA from 1 species
GACAGAGGUGCCGAGCGUUAGGCGGAAUCACUGGGCUUAAAGCGUGUGUAGGCGGAUGCCUAAGUACCUUGUGAAAUCCCACGGCUUAACCGUGGAACUGCUUGGUAUACUGGGUGUCUUGAGCCACUUAGGGGCGACCGGAACAAACGGUGGAGCGGUGAAAUGCGUAGAUAUCGUAAGGAAGACCAGUGGCGAAGGCGGGUCUCUGGACAGUUCCUGACGCUGAGGCACGAAGGCCAGGGGAGCAAACGGG